AAAGGAAUUGACGGGGGCCCGCACAAGCAGUGGAGUAUGUGGUUUAAUUCGAAGCAACGCGAAGAACCUUACCAGGGCUUGACAUCCCUCUGCCAGUCUUAGAGAUAAGAUUUUUCUUCGGAACAGAGGAGACAGGUGGUGCAUGGUUGUCGUCAGCUCGUGUCGUGAGAUGUUGGGUUAAGUCCCGCAACGAGCGCAACCCCUGUUGUUAGUUGCCAUCAUUAAGUUGGGCACUCUAACGAGACUGCCGGUGAUAAAUCGGAGGAAGGUGGGGACGACGUCAAAUCAUCAUGCCCCUUAUGUCCUGGGCUACACACGUACUACAAUGGCGGUUACAGAGGGAAGCAAAAUCGCGAGGUAGAGCAAAUCCCCAAAAACCGCCCCAGUUCAGAUUGCAGGCUGAAACUCGCCUGCAUGAAGUCGGAAUUGCUAGUAAUGGCAGGUCAGCAUACUGCCGUGAAUACGUUCCCGGGCCUUGUACACACCGCCCGU
rnacentral:rRNA from 1 species